ACGGGUGAGUAACACGUGGAUAACCUACCUAUAAGACUGGGAUAACUUCGGGAAACCGGAGCUAAUACCGGAUAAUAUUUUGAACCGCAUGGUUCAAAAGUGAAAGACGGUCUUGCUGUCACUUAUAGAUGGAUCCGCGCUGCAUUAGCUAGUUGGUAAGGUAACGGCUUACCAAGGCAACGAUGCAUAGCCGACCUGAGAGGGUGAUCGGCCACACUGGAACUGAGACACGGUCCAGACUCCUACGGGAGGCAGCAGUAGGGAAUCUUCCGCAAUGGGCGAAAGCCUGACGGAGCAACGCCGCGUGAGUGAUGAAGGUCUUCGGAUCGUAAAACUCUGUUAUUAGGGAAGAACAUAUGUGUAAGU
rnacentral:rRNA from 1 species